rnacentral:lncRNA from 1 species
CUGGCAGUCCAACCUGGCAUUGUCUUUACACAAUCCUGCAUGCAACUUUGUGUUUACAAUAAUCAGGAGCAUUUCAUCUUUUAUUCUGUAGCAAUAGUUUCAAGGGGUCUCCUUACAUAAAGUCAAUUUUAUAACCUCACCUUUGGCUUUUAUUUUAUUUUAUUUUAUUUUUUUAUUUUUUAAAACCAGAACAUUUAUUGCAUGACUAAUUGUUGACAUUCUUAAGAUGAACUGGAUGCUGCAACAGCUGCCCUCUUGGGUUUAGGUGUUGUUCCUUCACGGAAUCCAUGCCUGAAUUUGCCACAGGUCGACUUCUGAAGGUGGUAGGCCUCAGAGCCACAGCAGCGGCACAACGUGUGUGUCUUAUUGCGAUGCUUUCCAAACGAUGAUGCUCCCUUCGUCAUCUCGCUUCUGCGGCCGAGACCAGAAAGUGGCUUUUUGUUUGUACACAAAAAUUUUCCAGGCACGGUGGUGCACACCUAUGGUCCCAGGCCAAGAUGGGAAGCAGGGGCCAGACAUGCCUCGUUAUACCCUCCUCCCUUUUGGACUUACUGAUAGAACACACUCUUAAGUCUGGAGACAGCAAGAAGGCAGCCUUUGGAAAGCCAGGAGGAGGGCCCUCACCAGGAACCAAAUCAGUCAGCACCUUGAUCUUGGACUUCCCAGCCUUCAGACUAUGAAAAAUAAAUUUCUGUUUAAGCCACCUAGUCUGUAGUAUUUUAGUACAGCAGCCUGAACUGACUAAUACAGUAUUUGUGAGGGCUCUGAUUUUUUCUAAGUGUUGGCAAGGAUGUGGAGCAAUUGGAAUCCUCAGACGCUGCUGGUGGAGAUGGGGAAUCGUGUGCCUGCUAUGGAAAACAGCGCGGUGGCUCCUCAAAAGUUAAACAUUGAAUUGCCAUGUGACCUAGCAAUUGUGUUCCCAGGUAUAUACCCAAAAGAAUUGAAAAUAAGCAUUCAAACAAAUACUUGUACACAAAUGUUUACAGCAGUGCCAUUCACAAUGG